GAAGCCAUAUUUAGGGUUUUUAAGCUUUCAAGCUCCAUAGUAAGUGAUUCCAAGCCCCGUUUUUAAUGUUCUUCGUAUUUUUGGAAUCCCGGUAACUUGGUUUAGCUUAUUCUACCAUUAAUUCGUGUUAGGGUUCAUAUUUGAAAAAAUACCCAUAGGUGAAAUGUGUUUAUUUUGCUGUUUUAUGGUGGAAUAUGAAGCUAGAGAUUAUGUUAAACAACUUUUGCUAAGCAAUUUUAAGCGAAAAUGGGUAAAUAGGCAUAAUCGGUAAAAAUAAUUAAUAUUCAAAAGUAUGUGUUGGAGUGGGAAUUUGAUGUUGCCAUAGAAGGGAAAAAUGUUCAGCAUUUUAUAAAACUUAAGAAUAAGUGAUGAAGUUUAAUUUCCGAGCUUGGGGACAAAAGUGUAAUUAAGCAAAAGUUUGGGGGCAAAAUUGUAAUUUUUCAAAAAGUUGGGUGGUGGGUUAUUUUAAUAAAUGUGAAUAUUAAACGAGUUAAAUUUGCUAUUAUAGAUCAAGAAAGACGUGAAGAGUAUAUCAAACGGGGAAAAGAAAAGAUAGUGGAGUAAAGUGCAAAAUUACGAUAUUUUGCACCGAGGUAAGUAAACACGUGACUUAAUGUAUUAUUUUGAUAUUAUUUGAUAUAUGUUGAGAUUUAUUUGGAAUUAAAAUAAAUGUUUGGCAAUAUCCUAAAAAUGUUGUUAAAUCGGGAAAGGUGAUAAAGGGUUGCAAUAUAUGGUUUAUGGUUUGAACACUCGGAAUAAGCCGGAGUAUGUUGUAUAUAAAAGGGGUUGCUGUGUCCUGAUUCCCCGAUUCAUUGGUGGUGCUAGGUGCGUGAUCCACCAUACCUUUGAAAUGUGAAAGGGGGUUGCUAUGUGCUGAUUCCCCCGAGGGGUUGCUAAGUGUUGAUUCCCCGAUUUCAUUGGUGGUGCUAAGUGCGAUAUCCAC
rnacentral:lncRNA from 1 species